AUUGCAGCAGAGGAGAAAACCUGAGGGAGAAUUCCAGAGGAGCAGUAAUAGCAGUGCUUUAUCUGAAGUCUACAAAACCCAACAAUGCAUUCUUGGAAGACAAGAGCCAUGCUCGGCACAGGGAAGCUGGAGGUCAAAGCUCAUGGGGUGGCCCUCCUUCCAUCAGCUGUGGUGCUGAGACAACCUCUUAGUCUCUAUGGACCCCAGGUUCCUCAUCAGUGAGAUCCAGAACUGAGUCCACAUCCUGAGAACCCAGAACUGAAGGUGCAGAUGAAGGAAGA